rnacentral:rRNA from 1 species
ACGAAAGUCUGACGGAGCAACGCCGCGUGAGUGAUGAAGGUUUUCGGAUCGUAAAGCUCUGUUGUUAGGGAAGAACAAGUACCGUUCGAAUAGGGCGGUACCUUGACGGUACCUAACCAGAAAGCCACGGCUAACUACGUGCCAGCAGCCGCGGUAAUACGUAGGUGGCAAGCGUUGUCCGGAAUUAUUGGGCGUAAAGGGCUCGCAGGCGGUUCCUUAAGUCUGAUGUGAAAGCCCCCGGCUCAACCGGGGAGGGUCAUUGGAAACUGGGGAACUUGAGUGCAGAAGAGGAGAGUGGAAUUCCACGUGUAGCGGUGAAAUGCGUAGAGAUGUGGAGGAACACCAGUGGCGAAGGCGACUCUCUGGUCUGUAACUGACGCUGAGGAGCGAAAGCGUGGGGAGCGAACAGGAUUAGAUACCCUGGUAGUCCACGCCGUAAACGAUGAGUGCUAAGUGUUAGGGGGUUUCCGCCCCUUAGUGCUGCAGCUAACGCAUUAAGCACUCCGCCUGGGGAGUACGGUCGCAAGACUGAAACUCAAAGGAAUUGACGGGGGCCCGCACAAGCGGUGGAGCAUGUGGUUUAAUUCGAAGCAACGCGAAGAACCUUACCAGGUCUUGACAUCCUCUGACAAUCCUAGAGAUAGGACGUCCCCUUCGGGGGCAGAGUGACAGGUGGUGCAUGGUUGUCGUCAGCUCGUGUCGUGAGAUGUUGGGUUAAGUCCCGCAACGAGCGCAACCCUUGAUCUUAGUUGCCAGCAUUCAGUUGGGCACUCUAAGGUGACUGCCGGUGACAAACCGGA